CUCAGGAUGAACGCUGGCGGCGUGCCUAAUACAUGCAAGUCGAGCGAACGGACGAGAAGCUUGCUUCUCUGAUGUUAGCGGCGGACGGGUGAGUAACACGUGGAUAACCUACCUAUAAGACUGGGAUAACUUCGGGAAACCGGAGCUAAUACCGGAUAAUAUUUUGAACCGCAUGGUUCAAAAGUGAAAGACGGUCUUGCUGUCACUUAUAGAUGGAUCCGCGCUGCAUUAGCUAGUUGGUAAGGUAACGGCUUACCAAGGCAACGAUGCAUAGCCGACCUGAGAGGGUGAUCGGCCACACUGGAACUGAGACACGGUCCAGACUCCUACGGGAGGCAGCAGUAGGGAAUCUUCCGCAAUGGGCGAAAGCCUGACGGAGCAACGCCGCGUGAGUGAUGAAGGUCUUCGGAUCGUAAAACUCUGUUAUUAGGGAAGAACAUAUGUGUAAGUAACUGUGCACAUCUUGACGGUACCUAAUCAGAAAGCCACGGCUAACUACGUGCCAGCAGCCGCGGUAAUACGUAGGUGGCAAGCGUUAUCCGGAAUUAUUGGGCGUAAAGCGCGCGUAGGCGGUUUUUUAAGUCUGAUGUGAAAGCCCACGGCUCAACCGUGGAGGGUCAUUGGAAACUGGAAAACUUGAGUGCAGAAGAGGAAAGUGGAAUUCCAUGUGUAGCGGUGAAAUGCGCAGAGAUAUGGAGGAACACCAGUGGCGAAGGCGACUUUCUGGUCUGUAACUGACGCUGAUGUGCGAAAGCGUGGGGAUCAAACAGGAUUAGAUACCCUGGUAGUCCACGCCGUAAACGAUGAGUGCUAAGUGUUAGGGGGUUUCCGCCCCUUAGUGCUGCAGCUAACGCAUUAAGCACUCCGCCUGGGGAGUACGACCGCAAGGUUGAAACUCAAAGGAAUUGACGGGGACCCGCACAAGCGGUGGAGCAUGUGGUUUAAUUCGAAGCAACGCGAAGAACCUUACCAAAUCUUGACAUCCUUUGACAACUCUAGAGAUAGAGCCUUCCCCUUCGGGGGACAAAGUGACAGGUGGUGCAUGGUUGUCGUCAGCUCGUGUCGUGAGAUGUUGGGUUAAGUCCCGCAACGAGCGCAACCCUUAAGCUUAGUUGCCAUCAUUAAGUUGGGCACUCUAAGUUGACUGCCGGUGACAAA
rnacentral:rRNA from 1 species